rnacentral:lncRNA from 1 species
AUUUCCUCGACCAGAUCUACACACGAACUGCCUACAAUCGAAUCACUUAAUAUUACUCCAAAUAUCGAAAUAAAAUUGAGUAUAUAGUCCCUUACCACAUUCGGCCAAACAUGCCUAAAACCCUUAUUGCUCUUACCUUACUACCGAACUAUGGUUAACUCCAAAGAUCCGAUCGUUCCACCUGUCCAAGCCCUUGAUUAACCACCUCUAAAUCACGUUAUUACCAAAACAAAAUAGUUAUUAUGACCCCUCAGGAUUACAAGUCCAAAUCGACAAGCUCCCUAACUUUUAGGGAUUUCGGCGUUUCCUAAAAUAUGUAAGAAGACUAAGUUUUGGAGAAGACUUACCACCGAUUCCUUAGUGAAUGAUUCCAAUGAGUUUCCCACUCGAUCCUGAUGUAGAUCUAAGCCCUCAGAUGAUAACAAAAGUCGAUCUUCCAAUGACUUCAGUAUUCGGCCAAGUCCCUUUUAAUGUGGGGUUUUCGGCUUUUUGCAACUUGUGUUUAGAAAGGUAAAACGAGAGGGUUUUGCUACGGUCUUGUCGUCAAAACUUGAGGUUUUAGAAGGCUGGUGAAUCGACCACAAAUGAUGAAGAGAAGAGAUGUGGUGUUAGUUAUAAGAAAUCGGCAUAAAAAGAAUCAAGCUUUCGGGAUUUCGGCUUUUUAUGGCCAAAGGCUAUGAAGGUUUUGAAACGGUUGAAGGGAAAAAUGGAGAUGAACAAGAUGGUAGGAAGGUUUGGCAAUGGAGGAAAGAAGAAGGAAGAUAGAUGGAGAGAAAAAGAAAAGAAAGGAAAGGAAAAGAAGGAAGAAUGGUCAGAAAAGAAAAAAAAACGGCACAACACUUCCAAAUGCCGAAUUUAUACCUAGCUUUUGACCUAGCCGAAAUUUUCCCCCCUAAAGAAACCCUUGGCCGGCCAACUUUUGCUCCUCAAGAGUCCACUAUUCGGCCAACACCAUCCUCCUUGAUCAGCUCCUAAAUCUUCUCCCUUAUCCCCUCCUUACUCAAUCUCCUGAGCAAUUCAAACUCCUCUUGACAGACUUUUACUUCAGUUCCAUUACUUACCUUUUCUGUUCAUAAAAAUUAAUCCCUUGAUUUGCUGUUAUUGUGGCUUGAACCUGGGUCCUCCCUAGCUUCCACACGCCACUUAUAGCCUUCCCUGUGGCGUCACAUGCCACUUCACCACUUGCUUCCUUGUGAUCUAUUUUACACAAUUAAUUCCUCAAAGCCUAAUUUACCAGAACCCCUUUCUCUUAUGGAAUUAAAAUUAAUUAAAACUAUCGGGUUUUAUCCUAAGCUUGGGCCUUCUAGAGGCCCACUAUCACAAUUAACCCUACACUUAACAAGUAGAACACAGAAUUUUUUUAAUUUUACAACUUUUACAGAAUUCCCGAAAAUUGGGGCGUUACAACUCUACCCUCCUUAAAGAAAUUUAGUCCUCAAAAUUUACCUGAUCCGAACAGAUGAGGGUAUUGUUGUUGCAUUGCCUCCUCUGGCUCCCAAGUAGCUUCUUCUCUGCCUUGGUUACGCCAAAGCACUUUCACUAAUGGUACCGAUUUCCUCCUCAGAACCUUAACGUCUCGAUCCAAUAUUUGUACAGGCUCCUCCUCAAAGGUCAAAUCAGUUCACACCUCAAUUUCUGCAACCGGCACGACAUGAGUAGGGUCAGAACGAUAACGCCUUAACAUGGAGACGUGAAAAACAUCGUGAAUCCUGUCUAGCUCUGGAGGCAAUUCCAACUGAUAAGCCACUGGGCCUACUCGCUUCAAAACUCGAUAAGGCCCAAUGAACCGCGGAUUCAACUUGCCCUUCUUGCCAAACCUUAGUAUCUUCUUCCAAGGUGAAACCUUCAAGAAGACUAUAUCGCCCACUGAGUAUUCAAUCUCCUUACGCUUCAGAUCUGCAUAAGACUUUUUCCUAUCAGAUGCUUCCUUUAACCAAUCUUUAAUUAACCAUAAAAAUAAUUAAAAGGCCUUAUUACACUUAAAACCCAAAACCAUAGAUGAAAUUAAAAGGACGUCCAGUUCACCAGAAAGAAACCAGGUUCGUAGAAACAUGUGGCCAGUCCGAAUCCCUCACAGCUCCAAGCCCACUAUGGUUGAGGAUUACCUACGAGGAUGAAAAUAAGGGGUGAGUUUUGGAAAACUCAGUGUGUAAUUCAAACCAACCAUAGCCUAAAUCAGUUCAAGCCACAGAGACAGAAUAAGUUGGCCUCAGCCCAGAACAGAUAUCAGAAUAAAGCCCGUGGGCCCAGAAUAGACUAGAACAGAUAUAUCAUGCUUAUGCAGAAACCCAACCAUAUCCAACCACAUACACCCCCAUACCAUCCUUUCGCCAUGUAGGGAGACUACUCGACCCAUCCAACCGCUACACGCCACAGAAAUAUGCAGCAUUGCUGCCAGAUACAGAAAAUGUGAUAGAGUCACCAGAUACAGAUAUUUUGUGGCAGUGCCACCAGACAGAUAUACAUGGCAGGGCCACCAGAACAGAUAAUUCGUGGCAUAGCCACCAGGACACUUCCUCCAUAAUAUAACCCAUGUCCCCAUGCAACAGAUAUACAUUCAUGGCAUACAUCAUACAAAUUUAAUUCAUCAUGCUUUUCAGACAAAAUUAACCCUAGGGGUAUAAAGGUCAUUUUGCAUACAUAGAGGUAUAAUGGUAAUUUUGCAUACAUAGGGGUAUUCUAGUAAAUCUAACUAUUUCUAAGGUUUUCAUGCACAUCGUAGUUAUUACAUUUAGCCAAAAACACUUACCGAGCGUUCUUACCGAAUUGGGCCCGUUGGCCCAUUAACCCAGUUUUGGCCCAUUAAGCCCAAAAUAUCAAAACGCACGAAAUUGCGUGUACUACAGUUUUAUCACUUUUUAUUACCAGUAAUAAUUACCCAUACGUCUUACGAGCAUUCGCACACUCGCAAGUGCCCAAAAUACCGGCUUUUCGGCAUUUCGGCUUUUCGGCUUUUGCCGAUCUAGUCCCUUACCACAUUCGGCCAAACAUGCCUAAAACCCUUAUUGCUCUUACCUUACUGCCAAACUAUGGUUAACUCCAAAGAUCCGAUCGUUCCACCUGUCCAAGCCCUUGAUCAACCACCUCUAAAUCACGUUAUUACCAAAACAAAAUAGUUA